rnacentral:rRNA from 1 species
GACGAACGCUGGCGGCGUGCCUAAUACAUGCAAGUCGAACGCAGUGGGGACGGGUGAGUAACACGUGGGUAACCUCCCAACAGAGGGGAUAACACUUGGAAACAGGUGCUAAACCGAUACUGAUGGAUGGACCCGCGGUGCAUUAGCUAGUUGGUGGGGUAACGGCCAACCAAGGCCACGAUGCAUAGCCGACCGGGGAGGUUGGUCUGCUACACUGGGACUAAGACACGGCGCAGACUCCUACGGGAGGCAGCAAUAGGGAAUCUACGGCAAUGGACGAAAGUCUGACCGAGAAACCCCACUUGAGUGAAGAAGGUUUUCGGAUCGUAAGACUCUGUUGUUAGAGAAACGGUAUCUAACCAGAAAGCCACGGCUAACUACGUGCCAGCAGCCGCGGUAAUUC